CUGACCUCUGGUUGAUCUGACUUGUCAUCCUGUUUUUCUGCAUUGUCAUCGGACUCCGAAUCCUUUGAGCUUGCGGGAAAGGUGUUGUGCACAACUAAUCCAAACAGGUUGCAGCUAAAUCGAAGGCCGCUCUAAAUGUAAAGGUGGCCAAGAUAUGUGGUCGACCGACCUUACCAAGAAAGUCGGCUCGUCAACCGAACCAGAAAAAACAAGGGGAAGUGGAAAAACUUAUUGAUCAUAUAGCCACCAAGGAGGGCGGAAUGUUCAAAAUCAGACGGAAAGUAUGGACGAAAUGAUGGUUUCUGGGAUUCAAGCCAGAAUCUGACUUGCGACGCUUAAUAAAAAAGUAACAUAGCAGAAGGUUGAUGUCAAGGAGCUGCACGAAUCGAGGAAGACCGCAGAGACCAGGAACGUCAGUGGAACUUGUAGUGGAUUCAGGUAUUAAUGCUGGUUCUCCGAAGUGAACGCUAGUGCCAAAGCGCAAAGAUGAGCACGACUCGGACUCAAAAAUGGCAAGAAUGCAGCUGAAAUAAAUUCGGAGUCCGAUGACGAUGCAGAAAUAGAGGAUGACAAGUCAGCACAACCCCAGGAUGAAUACAAUUCGUCCUUGAGCUGCGAACAAAACUUUCAGGAUGCAAAGACCACGCUACUGUAUCCAGUGCGAUCUUCUCCAGAACUUCGGACCCAAGACCAACUUUAAAAGGCGCAAACAACGGCAUAUGUGCAACGGCGCUUCGAAGACGUUCCCCUGCUUCGUACAAAUGACCAACUUGCUACUUUUGAAGGAAAGGUGCUACGCAUACCUAUGCCAAACCUCUCCCUGAUAGUUUUGUAUGGACCAGCGUGAGUCAAGCAUUAGAUGUGGAGGGCAGGUCAUCGCUCUUUUCUACCGUUUGACGAGCCCUCACCCCAGUGUCCACAUUGGAUCGUCCUCAUCUGAAUCCUCUUCAACGAUAUUUUUCCCAUUAUUGGUGAUCAAUGUGUCGGUGUUCCUGAUCUCGGCGUUCUUAGUCAAUUCGCGCAGGUUCUUGACAUGAACGUUGUGCUGGGUUACUUUUUGAUUAGUGCAUUGCAAGCCAGAUUCUUGCUUGGUUCUCAGGAAUGAUCCUUUGAUCCAUAGUUUUCCAUCUGAUCUUGAUCAUUUCGCCCUCCUUGGUGCCUACAUGAUCAAUAAUCUUUUUCACCUCCUCACCUUCUCUGGGUCGGUUGAAGCGUUGGCUUCUUGGUGCCGGCGGUCGGUCGACCACGUCUCUUGGCCAUCUACACACAAUUGGAGUUUUUGGAAAAGCUACUCUUAAACUUUCUAACCGAGCUGAAUCCCGAUAUUUCCAAUAUGGAACAAGGGGUUAAUAUAGGGUGGAGCUCAGCCCGGGCGAUGCGGUGAAUCCUCUUCUCUUAUCUAACUUUCUAUCUG